rnacentral:rRNA from 1 species
UAAAAGUCGUAACAAGGUCUCCGUUGGUGAACCAGCGGAGGGAUCAUUACUGAGUUACCGCUCUACAACCCUUUGUGAACAUACCUAACCGUUGCUUCGGCGGGCAGGGGAAGCCCUUCGCGGGCGAACCCUCCCGGCGCCGGCCCCAUCACGGGGGCGGAGCGCCCGCCGGAGGAAAUCAAACUCUAUUUACACGACGUCUCUUCUGAGUGGCACAAGCAAAUAAUUAAAACUUUUAACAACGGAUCUCUUGGUUCUGGCAUCGAUGAAGAACGCAGCGAAAUGCGAUAAGUAAUGUGAAUUGCAGAAUUCAGUGAAUCAUCGAAUCUUUGAACGCACAUUGCGCUCGCCAGCAUUCUGGCGAGCAUGCCUGUUCGAGCGUCAUUUCAACCCUCAAGCACCGCUUGGUUUUGGGGCCCCACGGUCGACGUGGGCCCUUAAAGGUAGUGGCGGACCCUCCCGGAGCCUCCUUUGCGUAGUAACUAACGUCUCGCACUGGGAUCCGGAGGGACUCUUGCCGUUAAACCCCCAAAUUUUUUCAGGUUGACCUCGGAUCAGGUAGGACUACCCGCUGAACUUAA